CGAAAGCGCAACAUGAGGAAAAUAGGAUGAACAUGGCGGUGGGGUGGGAAAAGCUCCCCGAAGGGGCGAUUUGAUAACGACAAAGUGUCAGGAAUUGCCUCGGAAAAGCCGGAUUUGAUUCGAUGAUUACAAAUGAUUUCACAUAUUUUCAACGUGAAUUCUUGAGGGGAGUGGCGAGGAGUACAGCUCGGCGGUUCAUCACACGGAGGAGGAGAUGCUGCAUUGGGGGCUCCCUCCUGACAUGGUGGCUGACCAGAAAUGGCUAGAGGAGUAUUCUUCUAGAUUAUUUUGAGAACACUGCAAUCAUGACUCACCUCAAAGUAGUUCGGUUGGGGCUUCGUUUUGUUUGUUUAUUUCCCGAAACAAGAUGGUCAGAACGAAGAACAAGAGAAGGAAGGAAGAGAAUAUAGCUGAGGAUUGGUGCUUUGCUUGCAAGGAUGGAGGGCUCAUGAGGGUGUGCGAUUAUAGGACACGGUUGAGAAUUGAGAUGAAUGAGUAGUGAUCAAUUCCUAAAAUAUUACAUAGAUAUAAUUUGUCCUGUGAGUACUUUCUUUUUGAUACUUAAUUAACUGCACGUUGCUUAAAGGGAUUGUCUUAAAGCUUAUCAUCCUCAUUGCGUGG